UUCUGCAGCAAAGAUACCACAAUUCAUGUCUUCUGAAUGGAUUAAUGAUUAAUGAUUAAUAGACUGUGACCUCUGAUCUUGAUGGCAUGCUACUCUAUAUGAAAAUCACAAGGAGGAUGGGAGACAAGCAACACCGUAACCUAUUCUACACAGCUGGAGGGAAGAAAUUAAGCAAAACAAAGUAGGUUGUGCAGAUUCCACAUACAAGUCAACACAGCUGACAUCCUAACUGGAGAUCAGGAGAGGAGAAACAUGCUAGAAACAAAACAUUGUGCAUAGACAGGCAGGAGAGGCAGCAAAAGGAGAGAGACUACAUGCUGAGACGCAUCUGCCUAAGGUGUGAACAUAGCAGGCCCACAUGGAAGUGCAGUAUGGCUGAAAGAUGAAAUGAAGCAAUGCAGAGAGAACUCUGGAAUCAAAUGUUGAAAAAUAAACAGCUGGUGUUUUGAUUUUCAUACCCUGAGCUAUACCUCUGCAUGCACUGUGUGUAUUCUAUCAUGAACAGUAAACAUUCUUAUUUAACAAAUAACUUCCUUGAAUAUAGUACAGCAAAAGUGCUCAUUCAUGACCUACAAAACAAUAGAUUCCAACAGCAUUUGAUCUCAGCUUUAUCUGAGUGGGUCAAACCACAUAUUUUAUACUUUGAAUAAAUUAGCAUAAAUGUAAUGUGGAAAAAAGAGCCCAAACAGUUUAUUCUUCCCAUGUUUAAAGUUUGUGCUUUAUAUUUUUGUAUGACAGAUAAUAUAUACAACCAGUUAUAAAAUAUAUAAAAAUGGAAUAGUGAGAGAUAUAGUAUACAUUUCAUCAAAGAAUAUAAAUGAGGUUUAAAGAAGUCAAUGAGAAACAGUUAGCAAACGUGAAAAAUUAAUGCAAUAUCACAGACAAAAUACUCACAAGUGACCUUCAGUUUUAAAACUGUUUUACCUGAUUUAUGUUUCUUGAAUUUCCUUAGAAUUUAAAUGCAUGUUUGUUCUUCCAGACAUCCUUAAUAUAGUUUAAAAAAUCCAUUUGCCUGAAUGCAUAAUUAUUUACUGUCACAGUCAUUUACAUGAGAAGCAAUAAAGAAGUGAAAAUACUUCUUUUUUAUUUUCUAGAAAACAAAGUAAUUAGCGUGCAUAAUUAGUAAAUGCAUUUUAAAUGCCAUUUUUAAGUAAAGCAGCCAUACUAGAAAUAUUGCAUUUGAAGUGAGAAUGCACUCUGUAAUAAACCUUGGGACUGUUGCUUUACCCUUUGCACUUAACACACAAAGGUACAGAAAAAAAACACCUGAAUCUAAAAUAUUUUAUCCUUGAUUUGAAAAAUAAUCAUGCUUUGCAGUUGUCUUGGAUGGUGAGAAUAAAAAUGGUCACAUUGGGAAUUUGAGCAAAAAUAAAAUAUAAGACAGACCUUCUUGCAGCUAGGCAGGCAGGAGGUAACACCACAUGUACCAUGUCCUCUUAUGCACACAGACUGUCUUAUAGGAUAGGAAAUUAAAUAAUACUAUGUUUAUAAAUAUUAAUAUUCCCAUUGAUUUCAA